rnacentral:rRNA from 1 species
GGAGUUUGGGCCGUGUCUCAGUCCCAAUGUGGGCCGAUCACCCUCUCAGGUCGGCUACCGAUCGUCGACUUGGUGGGCCGUUACCUCACCAACUAUCUAAUCGGACGCCGAGCCCCACCCUUCACCGGAUUCCUCCUUUGACCCCUUUGAGAUGUCUCAUCGUGGUCUCAUGCGGUAUUAGUACAACUUUCGCUGU